GGCAACUUGACUUGUAGAAGUGACAUUAUAACAACAGACAUUUGUAUAGGUAUAUAUCAUUAAAAAUCAAUGACACAGAAUACUCAUCUGUACAUUCACAGUUAAAUGUAAAACUAAACCGUGCAUCCUUAAAUGGAAAUUAUUCUUAAAGUGGCAUUGUCAUGUAGAACUAGCCUUUCUCAUAUCGUUUCGUCUUCUCUU